rnacentral:rRNA from 4 species
UGAGGGGGGCUGCUCCUAGUACGAGAGGACCGGAGUGGACGCAUCACUGGUGUUCGGGUUGUCAUGCCAAUGGCAUUGCCCGGUAGCUAAAUGCGGAAAAGAUAAGUGCUGAAAGCAUCUAAGCACGAAACUUGCCCCAAGAUGAGUUCUCCCUGAGACUUAGAGUCUCCUGAAGGAACGUUGAAGACGACGACGUUGAUAGGCCGGGUGUGUAAGCGCAGCGAUGCGUUGAGCUAACCGGUACUAAUGAACCGUGAGGCUUAACCUUACAACGCCGAAG